rnacentral:rRNA from 1 species
UACGUAGGGGGCAAGCGUUGUCCGGAAUUAUUGGGCGUAAAGGGCGCGUAGGCGGCUUUGCAAGUGACGGGUGAAAGCCCUCGGCUUAACCGAGGAACUGCCUGUCAGACUGUAAGGCUUGAGACCGGGAGAGGUGAGUGGAAUUCCCAGUGUAGCGGUGAAAUGCGUAGAUAUUGGGAGGAACACCAGUGGCGAAGGCGGCUCACUGGACCGGAACUGACGCUGAGGCGCGAAAGCGUGGGGAGCAAACAGG